rnacentral:tRNA from 1 species
AUCUUUUUAGUAUAAAAAUUAUAUUUGACUUCCAAUCAAAAGAUCUUAUUAAAAGAAAAGAUA